rnacentral:rRNA from 1 species
AUUGAACGCUGGCGGCAGGCCUAACACAUGCAAGUCGAACGAGUGGCGGACGGGUGAGUAAUGUCUGGGAAACUGCCUGAUGGAGGGGGAUAACUACUGGAAACGGUAGCUAAUACCGCAUACCAUCGGAUGUGCCCAGAUGGGAUUAGCUAGUAGGUGGGGUAAAGGCUCCCCAAGGCGACGAUCCCUAGCUGGUCUGAGAGGAUGACCAGCCACACUGGAACUGAGACAAGGUCCAGACUCCUACGGGAGGCAGCAGUGGGGAAUAUUGGACAAUGGGCGCAAGCCUGAUGCAGCCAUGCCGCGUGUAUGAAGAAGGCCUUCGGGUUGUAAAGUACUUUUGGCGGGGAGGCGUUACCCGAAGAAGAAGCACAGGCUAACGCCGUGCCAGCAGCCGCGGUAAUAC